UACGUAGGCAGCGAGCGUUGUUCGGAGUUACUGGGCGUAAAGAGUGCGUAGGCGGUUUUCUAAGUUUGGUGUGAAAUCUUCCGGCUUAACUGGGAGGGUGCGCCGGAGACUGGAAGGCUUGAGUAUGGGAGAGGUAAGCGGAAUUCCUGGUGUAGCGGUGAAAUGCGUAGAUAUCAGGAGGAGCACCGGUGGCGAAGGCGGUUCUCUGGGAAUGUCCUGACGCUGAGAAGCGAAAGUGUGGGGAGCGAACAGG
rnacentral:rRNA from 1 species